rnacentral:rRNA from 1 species
GACAGAGGUGCCGAGCGUUAGGCGGAAUCACUGGGCUUAAAGCGUGUGUAGGCGGAUCGUUAAGUGUCUUGUGAAAUCCCACGGCUCACCCGUGGAACUGCUGGGCAUACUGGCGAUCUUGGGCCAACUAGGGGCAGCCGGAACAAGCGGUGGAGCGGUGAAAUGCGUAGAUAUCGCUUGGAACGCCGAAGGUGAAAACAGGCUGCUGGGGUUGUGCCGACGCUGAGACACGAAAGCCAGGGGAGCAAACGGG